CGCGGCCUAUCAGCUUGUUGGUGGGGUGACAGCCUACCAAGGCGGUGACGGGUAGCCGGCCUGAGAGGGUGGGCGGCCACACUGGGACUGAGAUACGGCCCAGACUCCUGCGGGAGGCAGCAGUGGGGGGUAUUGCACAAUGGGCGGAAGCCUGAUGCAGCGACGUCGCGUGAGGGAUGGAGGCCUUCGGGUUGUGAACCUCUGUUUCCGGUGGUGAAGGCCCUGUCCGUGUGGUGGGGUUGACGGUAGCCGGGGAUGAAGCGCCGGCUAACUACGUGCCAGCAGCCGCGGUAAUACGUAGGGCGCGAGCGUUGUCCGGAAUUAUUGGGCGUAAAGGGCUUGUAGGCGGCUGGUCGCGUCUGCCGUGAAAUUCUCCGGCUCAACCGGGGGCUUGCGGUGGGUACGGGCCGGCUGGAGUGCGGUAGGGGAGGCUGGAACUCCUGGUGUAGCGGUGGAAUGCGCAGAUAUCAGGAGGAACACCGGUGGCGAAGGCGGGUCUCUGGGCCGUUACUGACGCUGAGGAGCGAAAGCGUGGGGAGCGAACAGGAUUAGAUACCCUGGUAGUCCACGCCGUAAACGUUGGGCACUAGGUGUGGGGGCGCCUGGUUUUACUGGGUGGUUCCGCGCCGCAGCUAACGCAUUAAGUGCCCCGCCUGGGGAGUACGG
rnacentral:rRNA from 1 species